rnacentral:rRNA from 1 species
GCUUGUCUCAAAGAUUAAGCCAUGCAUGUCUAAGUAUAAACUAUUUUAUACUGUGAAACUGCGAAUGGCUCAUUAAAUCAGUUAUAGUUUAUUUGAUGGUACCUUACUACUCGGAUAACCGUAGUAAUUCUAGAGCUAAUACAUGACUCAAAGACCGACUUACGAAGGUCUGUGUUUAUUAGAUGGAAACCAAAGCGGGGAAACCCGGAUUUAUGGUGAUUCAUAAUAACCCUCCGAUCGGCUAUGCCGACGCAUCAUUCAAGUUUCUGCCCUAUCAGCUUUGGACGGUAGGGUAUUGGCCUACCGUGGCUUUAACGGGUAACGGAGAAUUAGGGUUCGAUUCCGGAGAGGGAGCCUGAGAAAUGGCUACCACAUCCAAGGAAGGCAGCAGG